rnacentral:rRNA from 1 species
UACAGGGGGUGCAAGCGUUGCUCGGAAUACUGGGCGUAAAGCGAGCGCAGGCGGCCGAUUAAGUCAGAGGUGAAAGCCCGGGGCUCAACCCCGGAAAUGCCUUUGAAACUGGUAGGCUUGAAUGCAGGAGAGGGUCGCGGAAUUCUUGGUGUAGAGGUGAAAUUCGUAGAUAUCAGGAAGAACACCAGUGGCGAAAGCGGCGACCUGGCCCUGACAUUGACGCUCAUGCUCGAGAGCGUGGGGAGCAAACAGG